AUUGAACGCUGGCGGCAUGCCUUACACAUGCAAGUCGAACGGCAGCGCGGGCUUCGGCCUGGCGGCGAGUGGCGGACGGGUGAGUAAUGCAUCGGAACGUGCCCAGGAGUGGGGGAUAACGUAGCGAAAGUUACGCUAAUACCGCAUACGUACUGAGGUAGAAAGCGGGGGAUCGAAAGACCUCGCGCUCAUGGAGCGGCCGAUGUCGGAUUAGCUAGUUGGUGGGGUAAAAGCUCACCAAGGCGACGAUCCGUAGCUGGUCUGAGAGGACGACCAGCCACACUGGGACUGAGACACGGCCCAGACGCCUACGGGAGGCAGCAGUGGGGAAUCUUGGACAAUGGGGGAAACCCUGAUCCAGCAAUGCCGCGUGUGGGAUGAAGGCCCUCGGGUUGUAAACCACUUUUGGCAGGAAAGAAAUCGCCUGUGCUAAUACCAUGGGCGGAUGACGGUACCUGCAGAAUAAGCACCGGCUAACUACGUGCCAGCCGCCGCCGUAA
rnacentral:rRNA from 1 species